UACGUAGGGGGCUAGCGUUGUCCGGAUUUAUUGGGCGUAAAGAGCGUGUAGGCGGCCAGGUAGGUCUGCUGUGAAAACUCGAGGCUUAACCUCGAGAUGUCGGCGGAAACCAUCUGGCUAGAGUCCGGAAGAGGAGAGUGGAAUUCCUGGUGUAGCGGUGAAAUGCGCAGAUAUCAGGAAGAACACCUAUGGCGAAGGCAGCACUCUGGGACGGUACUGACGCUGAGACGCGAAAGCGUGGGGAGCGAACAGG
rnacentral:rRNA from 1 species